rnacentral:rRNA from 1 species
AAUAUUGCACAAUGGGGGAAACCCUGAUGCAGCGACGCAGCGUGCGGGAUGACGGCCUUCGGGUUGUAAACCGCUUUCAGCAGGGAAGAAGCGCAAGUGACGGUACCUGCAGAAGAAGUACCGGCUAACUACGUGCCAGCAGCCGCGGUAAUACGUAGGGUACGAGCGUUGUCCGGAAUUAUUGGGCGUAAAGAGCUCGUAGGUGGUUGGUCACGUCUGCUGUGGAAACGCAACGCUUAACGUUGCGCGUGCAGUGGGUACGGGCUGACUAGAGUGCAGUAGGGGAGUCUGGAAUUCCUGGUGUAGCGGUGAAAUGCGCAGAUAUCAGGAGGAACACCGGUGGCGAAGGCGGGACUCUGGGCUGUAACUGACACUGAGGAGCGAAAGCAUGGGGAGCGAACAGGAUUAGACUACCCUGGUAG